AAAAAUUUAGUUAAUACUUAUAACAUUAGUUUGUCAAACUAAAAUAAUUUUAUUAUAAAAUAAUUUUUA
rnacentral:tRNA from 1 species